AAAAAAGAAGGAUCACAGCAACAAGUGGCCUUCUUGCGCUGCGCCAGAACAUUGGAUACAGCCCUUUGCUAACACGCCUGUCCAUCAAUGUCCAAGAGGUAGAUGGCCAGAUUCCAGUUGCUAUGAAAGGUGACAUGCCGGUGGACAAGAGGAGGACAGUGAAGGUCUCACCCGAUAGCUUACAAGGAUAGAGUGCCGUAGAGCUGCUGCAAAGUGGCAGCUGGCAACACUGGCUAUAAAGGAAAUCUGACUCAGCUGGAAGACUUCACAAGUUGUUGCAGCAGUGACCAAAGGCAAGUUUGUUCUUAGGGCCAGCUUGUGGAUGGACAUUCCGAGGGGAGUAUCCUACUUCAAAGAGAACGACAUCAUUAAGGUUUCCAAGAUCUCUGCCACGCUGCUAAUUCUCUGCUGGAAUCCGAGAUGGGAGACACUGAGGGCCCUUCUGUUGAUGUAAAAGCCGUUGGAGGUGGACUCCGAGGAAGUCAUCCCACUCCUGGGCCUUCCCUGUGAUCUCAAGUCUCUGGAGUGCUUGUGGCAACGCAGUGGUUCUGUAGGUAAACCAAUGAGCUGCAAUAAGCAUGUACAUGCCCAUUUGCACUUCCCAAACUCUGUUGAGACAGGAUGUGUUAGGGGGGAUGUGGGGAUCACUAAUAGCAUUUUUUCCUUGGCACAUAGUGACGAAAUUGGGUGCACACACUCAAAAUUGCAUUGAAAAGGUUAAUCUAAAGGUGCAUUGAAGUGACACCAAAAUGAAAUGGUGAAUCAGUUUAUAUUGAUAGCUUAUUUUAUGAAAGCUCUACUGUCAUGAGUAUCAUCCUCAUGUGUUUGUUAUGCAAAAGAAAAUGGUGAGUGUUCAUUCUUAAAUUUUGCUCUGAAAUCUCUUUUCAUGGAUGUCAGCGUGAUGUCAUGGAUUCUAAGGCGUUUUUUUGUAUUUUUGCCAUAUUGGCUCUACGAAAUGUCCUGAAACUUGGUAUGUUUACUGUCUGGCCCCUUAGAGGACAGGGUACUUCAUUUUAACUGAUUUCGGACUACAUGGAUCCUAUUAGACACCCUCAAAAUUCAUGACAUCAUAGCAAGUUGGUGUGGGAACUUGAAGGUAGCAUUGCCACUUGUAUUUUCUUAUCGUGUGUGUUCUCGCUCUUCUUGUGGCAAUAGUUGUGGUUGUGGUAUUCUAAAAGGGUAAUUUACUGAUUUGACAGAAGCCGUGUCCUUCUCUUUCACAGCCCUUUAAGAUACCUUUAUUAAUGCUUUUUUUUAUAAGAACAUACAAGUUCCUUGCUUGUGGAACGGCUGACAUAGUGAUGAAAUGCAGGUUCGCUCACAUGUUGUUUGUCCAUCACAGAUUUCUUCUACUGCCCUAAUACAAUAGGACCCGGCCAUUCUGUUGCAGAAUACUGCGUUUUUCUGACUGCUACGUUGUUUUCGGCCAAUUCCAGCAUAGCUCCCAUAGGAUCCAAUGCAUUGAGAGCGUUUAAGUCGCGAAUUGCCACUCUGAGCUGGCCCACAUCAGGGCGGCUAAAAGAGGUGUGAAAAGGGGCCGCUGAAACUGGUUUCCAAAACAUCUUGGUGCUGCUUGGGUGCCUGUGAGUGAGCAGUCACGGUACACUACUCUCAACAUAGAUUCUAAACCACCCUUACGCUGGGUGGCAGUUGUCCAUUUUUGGUGAAAACCUUUUUUUUUUUUUUCAUUUUUCGAGCAAAUGUAAUUCGUACAAAGCACUUCAACUGUUGAACAUUCACCAUAUAUUCUCAUCGAUCGAGACUCUGUGCUCGAUGUCGACUUUGUGGAUUUGGUAAUAUCACAUUUUUCACAGCAGAGCUGCACGUGUGUUAUGAGAGGAAGAUUACUAUUAGAGAGGUUCAUGCUAUUUUGAACCUGCUAGAUUCCGUCAUUCGCGUGUAGAAAUAUUAUUACAAGACUCCUUUAUUGCUGCUUCAAAUGCAAAACCAAGUUGGGCGGACUGCAGCUUAAUACUCACCAAGCCUCUUGGUAAAAGUUUCAGCCUGAAGUAAUUUUGCUGUCUCUUUUUAUGUUCUGCCUGUGAGGAGGUUACAUGGAAACUUUUAUGCAUGUCAGGGUUUAGGAACAAAUUUAUGGCUAUGUCGUGAAAACGUGACAACCGAUCAUAAGUGAUCAGAAAACGUUUGUUUUCAGACGCACUUCACAACCCAUUUCUUUGAGCUCAGCAAACUUGUAUCUCAGUUCUUGUAAAAAGAAAUGAAGCAACUUGAAUUGAUGAGUUUUGUACUUUGUGCAAAAUGAAACGGGUUGGCCUUUGCAGCCGGGCAUUGUGCAGUGUUUUCGUUGUUGUGACACUUCAGGCCAGUGGCCAACAUUGUCUUAACGGACUAGAGAAUUAGGGAUUGGAGCUGCUGGUUCUCUUUUCUUCUGUUCAAGCUCUGCUUCCACGGAAAGAGACGGUUGGCCCCUCUUCCUCAACAUGACCUUGUUCUGAGCACAGAGGCGACUGGCUAAAGCAGUCUUCACUAAAAGAUCUAGUUGCUCUAUUUUUGGGAUCGCUGGAGCAAAGCAAUCCUUGCGGUAG
rnacentral:lncRNA from 1 species